AACGAACGCUGGCGGCGCGCCUAAUACAUGCAAGUCGAGCGAGAAGGUGUAGCAAUACACUUGUAAAGCGGCGAACGGGUGAGGAAUACAUGGGUAAUCUACCAUCGAGUGGGGAAUAACCAGCCGAAAGGUUGGCUAAUACCGCGUACGCUUCCGAGUCUUCGGGCUUGGAAGGAAAGCCGCACUGUGAGUGCGGCGCUCUUUGAUGAGCUCAUGUCCUAUCAGCUUGUUGGUAGGGUAACGGCCUACCAAGGCUUUGUACGGGUAGCUGGUCUGAGAGGACGAUCAGCCACACUGGCACUGCGACACGGGCCAGACUCCUACGGGAGGCAGCAGUAAGGAAUAUUGCGCAAUAGGGCGGAAAGACCUGACGCAGCGACGCCGCCGUGGGGAGGUGAAGGUACGUUCGGUA
rnacentral:rRNA from 1 species